rnacentral:rRNA from 1 species
UGUCUUCAAUAUAUAGAGAGUCGGCCUGCUCGGUGAUAAAUUGUUUUAACAGCUGCGGUAUUUUAACUGUACUAAGGUAGCAUAAUAAUUUGCCUUAUAAUUUGAGGCUAGAAUGAAUGGUUUGACGAAGGUUAAUCUGUCUCUAUCCUAUUUUUUAGAAUUUAAUUUUUAUAGUGAAAAAGCUUAUAUUUUUUAAAGGGACGAGAAGACCCUACUGAGCUUAUAAUUUUAUUAUUAUUUGUUUAUAUAUAGGAAGUAAAUAUAUAAAUUUUAAUUGGGGUGAUUAAGGAAUAAGAUGUUAAUAAAGUAACUUCCUUAAGUUAAAUAUUGUUAGAUGAAGUAACCARAUACUAUUGCUUAUAAUAUAGCUACCAUAGGGAUAACAGCGUAAUUUAUUUAGAGAGUUCUUAUCAAUAAAUAAGAUUGCGACCUCGAUGUUGGAUUAAAGUAACCUUAAGGUGCAGCACUUAAAGGAAACUGUCGAUUAACU